GGACUACACGGGUUUCUAAUCCUUUUUGCUCCCCACGCUUUCGCGUCUCAGAGUCAGGAAGGUCCCAGUGCAAUGCCUUCGCCUUUGGUGUUCCCCACGAUAUCAACGGAUUUCACCCCUACACCGUGAGUUCCAUGCACCUCUAACCUCCUCUAGUUCUGCCGUAUCUUCUGCACUUCCACCGUUGGGCGGUGGGCUUUAACAGAAGACGCACAAAACCUCCUACACGCGCUUUACGCCCAAUAAAUCCGGAUAACGCUUGAGGUCUACGUUUUACCGCGGCUGCUGGCAC
rnacentral:rRNA from 1 species